rnacentral:rRNA from 1 species
AGGGGCAGCAUUUUAGUUUGCUUGCAAACUGAGGAUGGCGACCGGCGCACGGGUGAGUAACACGUAUCCAACCUGCCGAUAACUCCGGAAUAGCCUUUCGAAAGAAAGAUUAAUACCGGAUGGCAUACGAAUAUCGCAUGAUAUUUUUAUUAAAGAAUUUCGGUUAUCGAUGGGGAUGCGUUCCAUUAGUUUGUUGGCGGGGUAACGGCCCACCAAGACUACGAUGGAUAGGGGUUCUGAGAGGAAGGUCCCCCACAUUGGAACUGAGACACGGUCCAAACUCCUACGGGAGGCAGCAGUGAGGAAUACUGGUCAAUGGGCGAGAGCCUGAACCAGCCAAGUAGCGUGAAGGAUGAAGGCUCUAUGGGUCGUAAACUUCUUUUAUAUGGGAAUAAAGUUUUCCACGUGUGGAAUUUUGUAUGUACCAUAUGAAUAAGGAUCGGCUAACACCGUGCCAGCAGCCGCGGUAAUACGGAGGAUCCGAGCGUUAUCCGGAUUUAUUGGGUUUAAAGGGAGCGUAGGUGGAUUGUUAAGUCAGUUGUGAAAGUUUGCGGCUCAACCGUAAAAUUGCAGUUGAAACUGGCAGUCUUGAGUACAGUAGAGGUGGGCGGAAUUCGUGGUGUAGCGGUGAAAUGCUUAGAUAUCACGAAGAACUCCGAUUGCGAAGGCAGCUCACUAGACUGUUACUGACAC